AGACGUAGGAGGCGAGCGUUAUCCGGAUUCACUGGGCGUAAAGCGCAUGUAGGCGGCUGGACAAGUCGUGUGUUAAAGCCCCUGGCUCAACUGGGGGAGGUCAUGCGAGACUGUUCGGCUGGAGGGCAACAGAGGCACGUGGAACUCCCGGUGUAGCGGUGGAAUGCGUAGAGAUCGGGAAGAACACCAGUGGCGAAGGCGACGUGCUGGGUUGCACCUGACGCUGAGAUGCGAAAGUGUGGGGAGCAAACGGGA
rnacentral:rRNA from 1 species